UCACUUCCGCGACACAAAUGCGCACAGUUUACCUUCUUUGCAGAAUCCUGAUCAUGUAUAUGACAACGAGCGCUGUUCAUCUAUUGGCCUGCAUCAUCCCAACUGACGAUCAUGUUAGUGUUCACGGAGACCAUGCAGAUUAUGGUUGGAUUGUUCUCCGACUCUGAGUGGGCAUCCUGUGAUCCCCAUGGAGCAGUGCCUGGCUGUUGUGGAAAUGCCUUGAGUCUGGCCCGAGGAUGCUGGUUACUAUUUGUUGAGGCUUCUUCACCAAUUGCUGUUGUUUGCACCCAAUUAUUGCACUAUUAUUGCACAAUUAUUACUAAUUUUGCAGUAUGUGCACUAAGCGUGCAUAAUGUACAUGUGGUAUUUUGGGCCACAGGCCUGUACCUGAACGGUCUCUGUCUCUGGUGAUCAUCCCUGGCCUUCUUAUUUAAUUUUAUUCAUAUUAUUUAUUGGUGUACCAGUAUAGUGUUAUUUUAAUCAACUGUUAGUGUGGUUUGCAACUUGUUUUACUACCUGGAUUAUUGCAGAUGGUCGACUGGAGUGACAUCCCCCGGCUCUAUUUCAUUAAUACUGAAACUUUCAAUAAAUGUUACACAGUAUAGUUUACAUGUCUUUUUCUGGACAUCCUAUAUAAAAUACUCCCCCAUGUUAGUGUCUCUGCUUGACUUUUUGCAGUAUGCUUAAGGAAUAGUUGACCCAAAACUGAAAACUCACUCUCAAGUU